UCAACACCAGAGCGACUGCUGCUUGUAGAAAUAAAUCCACGCGUUCCCCGCGGAUUCCCCCAGGGAUUCCAGCCCGCCAGUAUCCCUCGGGCUUGCUCUCAAGAACUUGCCGCGUCCACAUUCUGCCUGGAAACGCUCUUCUUAUCCUGCUGCUCAUUGUCCCUGUGGUCCCCAACCACCAGGCGUGAGCCGUUCCCCCAUCGCCCGCCCCGGGCGCGGCGACCCGCGCUUCCCGCCUCCCGCACCUCGGCUCCGGGUAGCACUGUCGGGGCGUCGGGCAUCGGGCCCGGAGGGCCCUUUUCACCGCUGCGCUCAGCGCGCGACCCCUGGCCUGGCAUACAGCAGGUGCUUAAUCAAUCCCGGACCAAUGCUGAACUCAAAGCAUCGACCCCCAAAAGCGACAUGUCGGUCCAGGGCUGAGCGAAGGCUUGCAGGCCGCGGGCGAGCGCGACACCGAAGGGACGCUCAUGGCCAACCCAGCCUCUCUGGAGUCCUCUGCUGUCUUCCCCCAGCUCCAGUCUGUAGACUGGAAACUCGGGUCUUGACUUCUAUCCGAAGGGUGUGGAACAGCACUUGUCCGAGAAGAACAACUAAAAAUAAUAAUAAUAAUAACCAGCAGUGAUUUCA